rnacentral:rRNA from 1 species
AGGGAAGUAGAACCAACAGGGAUUGCCCCAGUAACGGCGAGUGAAGCGGCAACAGCUCAAAUUUGAAAUCUGGCUCUCAGGGCCCGAGUUGUAAUUUGUAGAGGAUGCUUUUGGCGAGGUGCCUUCCGAGUUCCCUGGAACGGGACGCCACAGAGGGUGAGAGCCCCGUAUGGUCGGACACCGAGCCUCUGUAAAGCUCCUUCGACGAGUCGAGUAGUUUGGGAAUGCUGCUCAAAAUGGGAGGUAUAUGUCUUCUAAAGCUAAAUAUUGGCCAGAGACCGAUAGCGCACAAGUAGAGUGAUCGAAAGAUGAAAAGCACUUUGAAAAGAGGGUUAAAAAGUACGUGAAAUUGUUGAAAGGGAAGCGCCUAUGACCAGACUUGCGCCCGGUGAAUCACCCAGCGUUCUCGCUGGUGCACUUUGCCGGGCACAGGCCAGCAUCAGUUCAGCGCGGGGGAGAAAGGCUUCGGGAAUGUGGCUCCCUCGGGAGUGUUAUAGCCCGCUGCGUAAUGCCCUGCGCCGGACUGAGGUACGCGCAUUGCAAGGAUGCUGGCGUAAUGGUCAUCAGCGACCCGUCUUGAAACACGGACCAAGGAGUCGUCUUCGUAUGCGAGUGUUCGGGUGUCAAACCCCUACGCGUAAUGAAAGUGAACGCAGGUGAGAGCUUCGGCGCAUCACCGACCGAUCCUGAUGUUCUCGGAUGGAUUUGAGUAAGAGCAUACGGGGCCGGACCCGAAAGAAGGUGAACUAUGCCUGUAUAGGGUGAAGCCAGAGGAAACUCUGGUGGAGGCUCGCAGCGGUUCUGACGUGCGAAUCGAUCGUCAAAUAUGGGCAUGGGGGCGAAAGACUAAUCGAACCUUCUAGUAGCUGGUUUCCGCGGU